rnacentral:rRNA from 1 species
AAUGACUGUACCCGAAUAAGAAGGUCCGGCUAACUUCGUGCCAGCAGCCGCGGUAAUACGAAGGGACCUAGCGUAGUUCGGAAUUACUGGGCUUAAAGAGCUCGUAGGUGGUUAAAAUAGUUGAUGGUGAAAUCCCAAGGCUCAACCUUGGAACUGCCAUCAAAACUUUUUAGCUAGAGUGUGAUAGAGGUAAGUGGAAUUUCUAGUGUAGAGGUGAAAUUCGUAGAUAUUAGAAAGAACACCAAAUGCGAAGGCAACUUACUGGGUCACUACUGACACUGAGGAGCGAAAGCAUGGGUAGCGAAGAGGAUUAGAUACCCUCGUAGUCCAUGCCGUAAACGAUGUGUGCUAGACGUUGGAAAUAUAUUUUUCAGUGUCGCAGCGAAAGCGAUAAACACACCGCCUGGGGAGUACGACCGCAAGGUUAAAACUCAAAUGAAUUGACGGGGACCCGCACAAGUAGUGGAGCAUGUGGUUUAAUUCGAAGAUACGCGCAGAACCUUACCAACACUUGACAUGUUCGUCGCGACCUUAAGAGAUUAAGGUUUUCGGUUCGGCCGGACGAAACACAGGUGCUGCAUGGCUGUCGUCAGCUCGUGUCGUGAGAUGUUGGGUUAAGUCCCGCAACGAGCGCAACCCUCACUUUUAGUUGCCAUCAUUUAGUUGGGCACUCUGAAAGAACUGCCAGUGAUAAGCUGGAGGAAGGUGGGGAUGACGUCAAGUCCUCAUGGCCCUUACGUGUUGGGCUACACACGUGCUACAAUGGCAUCUACAAUAGGAAGCAAAAUGGCGACAUUGAGCAAAUCCUAAAAAGAUGCCUCAGUUCGGAUUGCACUCUGCAACUCGAGUGCAUGAAGCUGGAAUUACUAGUAAUCGCGGAUCAGCGCGCCGCGGUGAAUACGUUCCCGGGUCUUGUACACACCGCCCGUCACACCAUGGGAGUUGGUUCUACCUUAAGGCAGAGUUUAAAACCUCUGACCACGGUAUAGUCAGCGACUGGGGUGAAGUCGUAACAAGGUAACCGU